UGAGUCCUCUCUAGCAGCUUUUCUCCAAGGACACCUUCCUGCUUGAACCAGGCAGAGUCCCAUAGACUUUUGCCUGAGUCAGCCAGGGGCUGUGGCUGCUUCUGAGUUCAUCACCCCGCUGCCCGCCUGCCGCCCAGCCUUGGAGUCCCAGCCUCUGGCACAGGAGAGCCAGACAGCUGCCCUUGGGCCUCACGUGUAAUUUCCCCAACAACCUCCGGAGGGCCCCCUUCUGCCAGGACCACCUCGAGUGAAGGAAUAAGGUUCAGCUAC